UUUGGUUUGUUAACUCCUUCUUUCAGAUAUUCUUCUUUCUUCUUCGCGUUUCUAAUUAGUGAGAUGAGAGCUUGAUGAUUUAGAGUCUUAGCACGAGCUAAUUGAAGCUCUGAUGAUGAGCUUCAAAGGCUUCUAGGGAGUGCAUAUAGAUGAGGUUGAGGGAGAAAUCAUCGAGAAUUGAGAUUCUGUUUUUGAGUGCAGAGUGAACGAAUGAUUCUCUUUUCCAAACUAGAGUCAAGAGUUGAAUAUAUAGGAGCUGAUGUUCUAACAGAAUUGGGCAGGUUGGGCAAUUCCAUUAGAGCAAUUAACGAAAUUAGUUGAAUUCAGUUAUCAAAUGUUCAUGAAAUUCACCCGAGAUUCAUAUGAAAUUCAAUAGUUAGUUCCAAAUGAAAUCUUAGUUUGUUAGAGUUAGUUAGUAGUUGAAGCAUUUGAUUCAAUUAAAAUGAAGACUCGAAAUCUGAUGGUUAUAUCUGAUCUUAGGCGCAAUUUGGAUCUGAGUUUUUAGCUUGUUUUUCUUGUAACUGAUUUCUUAGUCAUGUCUACUUGAGCUCUAAAUAAGAGUUAACUUGAUUAGUUAUGGAAAAAGUUAAGUCCGGUUAAAAUGUUAAGUUGCUGGUUGAAACAGUUCAGUUAAAAUGUUAUGCUGCAGAAUUACCAUUGAUUAUUAUUGAUGCGGGGUUUUAUGGUUAUCCAGGUGAUAGUACAUGGCUAUGCAUUGCUCCACUGAAUGAAUGAAGAUGCAUGAUUUUUGCUUAGUUUACAUGUGCCUCCUUCUGUGAGCUAGCUAGGGCUGUAAUGGUCAGGUUUGGGAUUGGCUUAGCUUGGCAAGAACAUCAAAGUGACAAAGGAAAAGGAAAGUGAAACCAAGGCAUGACCAACUUGAAAAGGGAUUUCUUGCUCGUGACAAUGAUGGAAACUCAUGGAAUUAUGAAGAUGUGAUGAGAAUUAGGUUUUAGGGGGAAAAAUAUAAUGGUUGACCAAAAAGUCAACACUUGACCAAAAGUCAACUUUUCAAAAAAUGUAAUCUUUUUUAUUUCUCUUUUUGUAAUGAACAUUGUAUUCUAAUGAAUUAAUGAAUGAUCAAUUAUUUGAGUGAAA